CGAAAGUUAGAGGCUCGAAGGCGAUCAGAUACCGCCCUAGUUCUAACCAUAAACGAUGCCAGCCAGCGAUCCGGCUGUGUUCCUCAAAUGACACGCCGGGCAGCUUCCGGGAAACCAAAGCUUUUGGGUUCCGGGGGGAGUAUGGUUGCAAAGCUUAAACUUAAAGGAAUUGACGGAAGCGCACACAAGGAAUGGGGCCUGCGGCUUAAUUUGACUCAACACGGGACAACCUACCUGGCCCGGACACAAGAAGGAUUGACAGAUUAAGAGCUCUUUCUUGAUUUUGUGAUAGGUGGUGCAUGGCCGUUUCUGGUUGGUGGAGUGAUUUGUCUGCUUUAUUGCGAUAACGAGCGAGACUCUAGCCUACUAAAUAGACGUUCCGAUCCUUAUGAGUCGGACGUUCUUCUUAGAGGGA
rnacentral:rRNA from 1 species